UUUCCGGUCCUCUCCCCGCAAGAACAGCGCCUCCAAAGCUCCACUACCAACGUCUGGGAGGACUUUUCUUCACUAGCUCCCGGGACACCCCGCGACCCCACAGUGGCCAGGAAGUUAGGUGUGACCCGGACAACUAUCAGUCAGAGAAGUGGCAGUUGUGAUACUCGGUUGCUUGCCCAAGACCGAUUUUGAAAAACUGAACCACGGCUGUGACUUCUACGGAUCCACAGCGCCCACUAGCGCCCACUUUUGCCUCUCCGUACUUCAGAACAAGCCUACCGGUUACAGGAUCAAAUCUUAAGGAUCCAGAUAUUCCCAAGUCGAAAACCACUUGCUUAAGAUGCCCGUUAUCAGAGAGAACAAAGCAAAUACAAAAGAGAACCAUAGAAGAAAUCCUAAAGCACGGCCACAGCAAGCAUGCUGCAGUGUCUCUGAGAAGAGCUUCGUUUCACAACUAAAUCCUUGGAUGCUUUGAAAACAGGACACAACUCUAUGCCAAAUGACAACAAAAUCUGAGGAAGUCGCUGGUUCCUAAAGCUAAGGAUGCUUCUCAGUCAAUAGACUUGGGAAUUUUAAAAGUACAAUGUAUUACAAAAUAUAAAUGAUUUCUUACAGAGUGGCAGCAAAGCUGAAAUUUCACAAAGAACAAUCUAUUAGCCAGCAAAAAUGUACGACACACCAGGCUUCUAAGCCAAUGCUAACCAGUUUGGUCCUCAGACUGUUCUGCAACUUGACCACACUAACAGCUCCAAAUCGUUCAUUUGCAGGGAAAGCGCGAUCACAUUCUUUAGGAACGGGUUGCAGUCAACUGGCUCUCGUUCAACCUUUUCCUUUAUGUAUUAAUGGAAAAACAGUAUGCUUCAAAUGCAGUAAUGGUACUAUAUUUGUUUACUGUCACCAGCAUAGGUAGUAGAAAAUGAAGCCUUUUUCCUAAUGUGAACUGAGAGGUCUAGAGGCCCACCCAACAACCUGUGUGAGGUAUUGUGGUGGGCAAAUCCAAGUAGGUAACUGGCCUUCCUCUAAACAAAGUCUCUGCUCUAGGAACUGAUUACGUACUUGGAUAGGAACAUGCAAAGUCAAAUGCCAUUGCUUGUAAGCUACAAAUGGAACCACUGAGGGCAAUACCUAGGUUAAAGGGAGAGCUCCAUGCUAUAAAAGGCCCAAGAGAACUUAGAGCCAACCAGUCCCAAGUUUAAGUCCUUAUCAGGCAAUUAAUCCCAAGUGAACAGUCAUUUACCCUAAGAGAACCAAGGACCACCCACAUGUAAAGAAACAUCUUUUAUUCUAAUCCUGCAGGUACUGAGAUAUUGAACAAGAUAUGAUUGUAUGAAAUGGCUGGGUCAUCAACAUGCACUGCUCUUUAAUUUACUGGUUUCAAAGUUUAAGUGUGAAAAAUACAAUCAUUUCCACAUCCUCCAAUCAGUCGUCUGAGGAUUGGAGAAGGAGCCAUGUUCUUUUCAAAUAGUGCUGGUCAAUCCAACAAUGUCUGGAGUGUCAAAGUGGCACCUCCACAUUAUUUUGCAGAGCACUCUAAUACAAAGCAAAACAAAACAAGCACUGGGAGUUGCUUUAACAGAUAGGGCUGAGGGGCUCUGACACUGGAAUCCUCUGGACUCUGGCCUGCUCUGGGGCUAUUUCAAAAACCACUUUCUCCAGUAAUUUCACUAUACGCCAUACAAGGAGAGUGACCCAACUGUGCCAAACAGAUGGCAACUGGCUACAAAUGUAUGUAUGGUGCCAUGCAUUCGCCAGUGCAAACCUACAUUAUGGUGACAGCAUCCUUCACCAGGACAACUCAAUUCUAAAACCAUCAACAUACACUUCACAGAUGGCAAGGUAAAAAAGGCUUACUGCUGGGGAACACCCAUCUGCAUACCUCACCUUUAAACCUAAUAGCAAGUAUUUACAAUACUUUUGGAGCAGGUGAUUUUAGCCCCAUCUUCGGCAUCUCUCAGGGCAAUAAUGCAAAGUAUAGUGAAAGCUCUAGGUGAAAAGCAACUGAACUGAAGACAACUGUAAUACCAGAAGCUUGAGUUACUAGCAGAAUGGGAUGUUCAAUAACAAACUGAGGAUCCUAAAUAAAGCAUGACUCAGACAUUAAGUGAAAUGGUACUAGACUCUGUGUUUAUCCUUCUUAAACUUAUGAGAAAUAUAAAGCCACUGACUUACAGUACAUUUAUAGUAUAUUGAAGAAAAAUGGCCAUACACACACACACACACACACACACACACACACACACACACACACACACAGAGGCAGGUGGGCACACAAGCAGACGCACGCACGCACACACAAGCUAGAGACAUAUGCCAGUACAAUUAACUGACCAGGUCAUAAUUAAGAACAGCAACAAGCUCAUUUACUACAUCCUAAGUGAAACUAAAGUCCUCGUGUAGGGUUCCCUUCCCCUAUUUGAAGCAUGAAAGAGUCCUCACACCAAGCUAAUUUAAAGGCUUAGUUUAUACAGUUGAGAUUUCUGCAAACUCCACAAUAUUAAUGGCAAUAACUACAAAAUUUAAAUACUAUAAUAAAAAUAAACAGUCAAUGAUUCUAUAACGCAUCAAGAAUUUCAAGUAACUCAAGAAUUAACAAAACUGAAUUAAAGGCAUAUUUAUAUUUAGUAAGUUAGGGAACAUCUGAACUGCUAAGAGUGGGAAAGAUUAGCUUUUAUAAUAUGCAUACAAAAGCAAUGGAACAAAUGAAGAAACAAGCUACUACAUUAGAAGUAAAAGGUGGGUGCAUAUUAUUGACAAUGACAUCUUCUUUCCUGUAGUCUGGCACUCGACAGUAAUCAGUUACUAAGCCCAGGAACAAUCCAGUAUAUCUCCGAGUCUCCAACACCAGACACUCCAUCACCUAGCAACUGUGAUUUCUUUUCACAUGUGGCAGAAGAAACUGAGUGACAGAGUAAAGGCACGAAAAGGCUGAUCUCAAGUAUUUGGAGCCCAGGCUACUCUUCAAGUAGUGCUUAGAACACUAGCAGAGCAAAAGCAACUUUUAAAUAACAUGUCCAAACCUUGAAUGUGCAACUGAGAGCAACAAUGACUCUAAAUUGAAGAGCUACAUUAAAAUACUAAUCAGGAAAUAAUUUGAGCUAAGUUAUGUUCUAGUAAAUGAGGCAGACAUGUACUUAGAGAGUACUAAGGUAUCCUGUUCACUAAAACCUUCACACUAUAUACCUCAUGGCCACUUAAAAUUUUAUCUUUAAAGAUAUUUAAAAUGAUUUCAUUUUUCUUUACCACAGUGAAGAGUUAAAACUAAAGCAACAGCAGUUUCCAAAGCAUGCAAACACAAAAUAAUCCACCAAUUAUUCAUCUCAAGCAGCAUUUUCAAUGAAAAGGAUGACCUGUCCCUGGAACCUUGUUCUCCACUACACCAUGCCCACGCACCUCAGAUAGCAUUUCACAGCCUUUCCUUGAGUGUUUGAACACUAGUAAACUUCAACAAAUAAGAGAUUAAAUGAGGCAGAUUCUACUGGGUUAUAUGUAAGUUUCCACGUGCAAAAAUACCCAAAGCAAGCCCAAGCCCCCAAGACUAGUAAAUUUAAAUAGUUUUUUCAUCCCGCCCAACAUGCUAGGGUGAAGACUAUUUUUAGUCAUUUUGAAUGUACAAAGCCAAGUUCUAGCUGAUGGUCUACCCUCUCUGAAAGUAACAAUAUUCUGUACUUUUAAAACAUACUUUCUAGUGUUUAUUAAGUAUAAUUUCUACAACAGAGGCACAGGUUUAGUAUAUUCCAAAGAUAAUACUUGAUGUUAUAAUUCUUUUAUCAGCAUAAAGUAGUGUCUGCAAAAAUAGCCAGUAAGUACUAAUUCACAAGUAUAUAUGGUGUACAUAGAAACCCUGUGAAAAGUAUGAACCAGAGGAAAUAUAGUACAGCUCUAAGGCUUCUAAAAGGAAACCACCCUCCAGACUUAACAGAACUUAAUAAAAAUUGCUUAAACAUAUGAAUUUAAGACUUUACUUUAUUCAGCAAAAUCAUUUAUUUACAAUGGGGAAUGCUGGUUUGAUUUUGUCAAUGAAAGAAACAAAAGUCCGAGAGAGACAAUGCUGCACUGCAGGUUAUUUCUGUAGCAGGUGACCAACUGUUUCCUUACCUGUUGUCAGGAACCUCAAGAACCACAGCAUCCCAAGGACACUGCUCUAACAACACCGCAGGUCCAGUCAAACCCUGGGAAUUUUGCAAUGCAAUUACCAACUUUUUCUUUUUUUAUAAAUGCAUAAAAAAACAAAAAGUCAGCAAAACCAGCAUUAUGACGUAGUAAACAGAGUAUAACUCCGAAGUCAGUGGUCAGUGAACACCUUACCAGACCAGCCAGUCACCAAGUGACCUGCUCUUCAGCAGGCCCAGCCAGUACAGAAUCCCAACAGGUGCAAAAUACACCACGUCUACAAGACAGCAAUGAUCUGAUAAGGACUUGACUUAAUGAAGGAAAAGAGGGAAAAUAAAGGGAUUGCAGAGCAUAGCCCCUAUUAGAACAAGCUAACUUUCCAGAUUUUCCAAAUUAAAAAAAAAAAAAAAAAA